GACGAACGCUGGCGGCGUGCCUAACACAUGCAAGUCGAGCGAGUGAAUCUCCUUCGGGAGUGAAGCUAGCGGCGGACGGGUGAGUAACACGUGGGCAACCUGCCUCCUAGGGGGGAAUAGCCUUUCGAAAGGAAGAUUAAUACCGCAUAAGAUUGUAGCUUCGCAUGAAGUAGCAAUUAAAGGAGCAAUCCGCUAUGAGAUGGGCCCGCGGCGCAUUAGCUAGUUGGUGAGGUAACGGCUCACCAAGGCGACGAUGCGUAGCCGACCUGAGAGGGUGAACGGCAACAUUGGGACUGAGACACGGCCCAGACUCGUACGGGAGGCAGCAGUGGGGAAUAUUGCACAAUGGGGGAAACCCUGAUGCAGCAACGCCGCGUGAGUGAUGACGGCCUUCGGGAUGUAAAGCUCUGUCUUCAGGGACGAUAAUGACGGUACCUGAGGAGGAAGCCACGGCUAACUACGUGCCAGCCGCCGCCGCGG
rnacentral:rRNA from 1 species